GGUAGGAAGGGGUGUCUGGCAGGGGUAGUAUGGUGUGGGAAGAGCUUCCUGCUGAUUUUUGAGUUUGAGUGUGAGGUUGUUGGAGUGGCGUGAAAUGUGGAGGACGACACGAAGGAUGACCUGAAACACCCCUCGACCGGACCAUGUACAGGAGGACCACCCCCUGGAAAGGACGAUCUGAAGGAUCCAACGACUGGACCAUCUUUAGGAGGACCAUCCCCUGGAGGACGAUCCGGAGGACGACCUGAUGAAUCCCACGACUGAACCUUCGACAGGAGGAACAACCCCUAGAGAGGAGGAUGACCCGAAGGAUCCAACGAUCGGACCAUCUUCAGGAGGACCAUCCCCUGGAGGAUGAAUCCCACGACCGGACCAUCUACAGGAGGCAUUUGUCUGUGAAAUAUGUUUAUUAUUUCAGUAAAAUUUGAAAAAUACCUACUUUUGGGACUGAGUUCGAUGCAAAAGUUUUAUUUUUGC